UACGUAGGCAGCAAGCGUUGUUCGGAGUUACUGGGCGUAAAGGGUGUGUAGGCGGUUCUUUAAGUUUGGUGUGAAAUCUCCCGGCUUAACCGGGAGGGUGCGCCGAAUACUGAGGGACUAGAGUACGGGAGAGGAAAGUGGAAUUCCUGGUGUAGCGGUGAAAUGCGCAGAUAUCAGGAAGAACACCCGUGGCGAAGGCGGCUCUCUGGGACGGUACUGACGCUGAGACGCGAAAGCGUGGGGAGCGAACAGG
rnacentral:rRNA from 1 species